AUAUCCCUAAAAUUUUUAGAAAUCUCUUGAAAUCUUUCCAAAUGUUCUGGUAUCUUUGAAAAAUGUAAAUAGUUUAUUUAUAGAGAACCCUGCCUCUGAGGUUGACUCAAAGGUUAAAGAAGACUCAUCCGUCUAUCCUUCUGCCUGCAUAUAUCCUGAACAUCCAACUAUCCCAGGAAAACCAUCUAGAGUAGUUUGUUUCAAAUUAUUAGCCACAGACCACCUACAUCACAAUAACUCAGGGAGCUUAUAGAAGUGAAGAUUCCUGAAUAUAAAUAUAGUAAUAAUUCAGAUCUGCUGAAUAGACAUCUCUGCUGAAAUCCACAGUUUUCAUAAGCUCCCCCAGAAGAUUCCUGUGUAUAUUAAAUCUAGAAACCAUUAGUCUGAAAUCUCUCAAAAAAUAAAAAUAAAAACUGCUUUCAGAGAGUAGCCCACAAAGUUUCCCAUUCUUCAAGGACAAAUUCCUCCUUCUGUUCACUCUUAAUGCUCUAGUUGCAGUUUACAAUUUUUGUUCUCCUGUAAAGAAUGUUAACUGGUUAUCACCUUCAAUAGUUUCAAUAUGUCCCCCAAAGUUACGUGUUUGAAACUGGCAAUAGUAUUGGGAGGUAGGGCCUAAUGAGGUGAUUAGGUGAAGUCUCUGUCUUCAUGAAAAGAUUAAUCCCAUUAUCUCAGGAGUGUGUUGGUUAUAAAAGCAAGUUUGGCUCCCUCUUUUCCCCAUACACUCUUUUUCCCUUCUGCCUUCUCCUUUGCCAUGGGUGGACACAGCAAGAAGCCCCUCAUCAGAUGCUGGCCCCUUGGUCUUGAAUUUCCUAGCCUCUACAACUAAGCCAAAUAAAUUUGUUUAUUUUAAAUAA